rnacentral:rRNA from 1 species
GACAGAGGGGGCAAACGUUGCUCGGAAUCACUGGGCGUAAAGCGCGUGUAGGCGGACAAUCAAGUCAGGUGUGAAAUCCCCGGGCUCAACCUGGGAACUGCAUCUGAAACUGGUUGUCUUGAGUGUCGGAGAGGGAAGCGGAAUUCCUGGUGUAGAGGUGAAAUUCGUAGAUAUCAGGAGGAACACCGGUGGCGAAGGCGGCUUCCUGGACGACAACUGACGCUGAGACGCGAAAGUGUGGGUAGCAAACAGG